rnacentral:lncRNA from 1 species
AGAGGAGACCAGCAGAGCCUGUCGGUCACAGGCAGAGGAACGAGGGCGGCGGGGACCACAGCUGAUGAGGCUCCGCAGAGAGUGAUCCCCCCCCCCCGAGUUGGAAAGCUAAGUGGACUGUCUCGCUAACUGGGUGGCAGAGAGGUAUGGGUGUCCCCGGGGCUUUUACGCUUCGAAAUGCUAGGGGACAAAGAUCGCAGCAGUGCCUGGCACCGGCAGCCCCUGGGGAGGUGCGAGCAUGGUAGCCCACUAACCAUUCGGGGACCUGAGCGCUCACCUGGCCAUCCAUCGCAGCUCAGCGGCAGAGAAUGCUGUCACCCUGCUUGUUCACGGCGCCGGCCUGGAACAGCAACCCAACACCAAGGGGAAAAACGGUUAGAGUGCGCAUAUCACAGUGUCGCCACCACCCAGGAGACGUCCUGGAAAACUAGGCAGGCGAGCAGAGUCCCCACCCGAGCCCGAAGCUGGGGAAGCCUCCUGUGAUGCAAGGGACACUCCGGAGACGCAGGGCUCCAAGUCCCAACCGCCCUCGGCUCAGGGACCAGUGGAUCACCAAGCCCAGCAGGCGGCUCUCGGUGGAGACGGGAGAAGCGGCUGUCAUUCCCUGAGAGGAGCAAGACCACCCGUAUCUCGCCGCCCCGCCACCUUUCCCGCGAUGCCCAGGGUGCCCCGCCAAGGCUUCUCACCGGGUCAGUGUUGAGCGCGGUGAGUGGGGUCCGCGGCGGCGCGACCGGACAAGCCCCGGCCGGGUGGAGAGGUGGCGCGGGCGGUGGCGGCUGUCUCAGCAAAGCAGGGGUUUCUUUUUAAAAGUCUACAUCUUUGUAAGACUUGCCAUGUUGAAGACAAAUGUCAAAGAGACUUGAUAUGAAAUCUGAAUGUUGCGGUGUGUAUAUCACCAAUGGAUCCCAAAUAUCCCUCACCUGUGAGAGUUUACUGUCCGUGGCCAAGCGACUUUCACAAGAUGAACAUUCAGGAACAGUGCUUCACAGCCGAAAUACACGAGCUCUUCCAGAUUUUAGUCUACACUCUUCAAACAGUAGCAGCCCAGGAGUCUAACAUGUUCCCUUUUCCAUCUGAAAAGAAACUGAGUCUUCUUACUUACAACUACUGAUGUCAUAUAUUCUUGAUCUCUGUGUAUUUUUCUGUCUUGUCUCUAACAAUUAUUUCUUAUAAGCAUGAUUGGCCUCCAGGUUAAUUUCAGGGGGGGGGAAGCUUGUAGUGGGGUUGAGUGAUAUUUUCUGCAUUAACACUAAAGAUUAAAUGUGUGUGUGUGUCUAUGUUUGAGAACAUGUGUGUGCAUGUGUGUGCAUACAUGUGUAUGUGUGUGUUUGCACAUGAAGGCCAGAAGACUACCUCCCUUGUAAUUUUCAAACCACAAUUCACUUCUUUGGAGACAGGCUCUCUCAUUGCCUUGAAGUCUCCCAAUUAGGAUAAGCUGGCUGGCCAGCAAGCCCCAAGGGUCCCAGUCUCUUCCUCCCCAGUACUGGAAUUCCAAGCACACACCAACAUGCCUGGCAUUUCUACGUGGGUUUGAAUUUAGCUCAUCAUGCUUGUAAGAUGGACAUGUUAUCAAGUCAUCUAGCUCCAAGCCCAGAAUAUUAGUUGUUUAUUUGCUUUAAAUGCUAAGACAAACCCCAUGGAAUUGGAGAUCCCUACCAAAAAUUUGCUUCCUAAACAAAUUAAGUAAACAAUACUUUGCAGUUUUUAUCAUUAGUCCAAGAAAGCAUUCUUUUUCUCCCUCUUGACUUUUCCCUUGUUAAUUCAAUGAUUAGGUAUGGAGCACUGUUUAAAAGUAGGGUUUGUGUUCUGGCUUCUGAGCUUGUGAGAAUGCCUCAAUUCUUGAACGAAGUUUUGGGUUCAGGUGUCCUGAGCCCUUUCAGAACCCUUAAGACUUUGAAGGAGAUGUUUUCCUGUCUAGGCCAUGACUUUCUUUUUCUUUUUUUCUUUUUUCUUCCCUUCUUCCUUUGCUCCCUCCUUACACUCCUCUUUUUUAAGAGAAACUUUAAGAACAGUUUUCAAUUUACAGAGACAUUAGAAAGGGAAGAGAUUCCAUACACUCUAUACCUACGUGGCUCUGAUUGCCAACGUCAUUCUUUAGUGUGGUAUAUGUAAUUAGUAUCAAGGAGUUAACAUUAUUAGGAGCUGAAGUCUCUGCUUCAGUCAGACUCCCUUAGCUUCCCCCUAAUGUCCUUGCUCUGUCCCAGAGUCCCAUCUAGAAGCCCACAUUACAUUUAGUCUUCAUCUCUCCUUAACAUUCCUCUUACCUUAUGCCUUUCUCCAGAUUUCCCUUGGCAGUAUGAAAGAGUUUGGUUCUCCCUGAAAAAUAAACAGAAAUAAAGAACUUGAUAAUGCAAAAGUGUACGGGAACCCCGCGGAGUACGGCGAGUGAUUUCCUGUUCUGCCUUUACCUGACGAUGCUUUUCUAAGGAUUUACGCCCUGAGUAGGAGCCACCAGUUCACUAAGUAGCCACCUCGUGGCUCCGCGUUAUUCCAACUGUGCGAGCAACAGCUGCGGAGGAGAGAGACGCAUAUCAACGCACAGCUUAUGGAGCUCAAUAUGUUACUUCUGUUUAUUCAAAAGACCACCUGUGUUUCUGGGGGAAAUUGGAGAUGUUCCAAAACAGAAUGAAGAUGCAGCAGACAGCCAUGGAACCUUCAGAGCCGCAAGCAGGGGCAUCACUGCUUUAGGUUAAACACACCGUGACAGCCCCGUGGGAAACGGCUCCCAGAAUCCACCGCACCAGCGUUUUGGGUUACUAAGGGAAACUGAGUCACUUCAGAGCUUCUUGGGACUUCUUGUCCAUGAACAACUUUACAGACAUCACUGUGGUAGCUUCUGAGAAUGCUGGAAAGCAAGGUGGAAUAAUCCAUGAGCAGACUGACUGAGUGAAUGGACCAGUUAUGCCCAGGAUGGCCUUGAAUUUGAGAGUUACGAGGCCAUAAUGAUGUCAGGUUGCUCUGUUCGAACAGUAUCGGGGAUUUAGGAGGGAGUGUGGGAAGUUUUCUAACUCCUUAUGCUCCCAUGAAUGCUCAUUGCAGUGGGGGGGGGGCACCCCUUCAAAGCCUUGUCAUCUACCCUAGGCCAGGCUUCUAUGUGACUUUCCCCAACAUGUUUCAUUACAUAUCCUCUGAGUGUGUGCUAGGGUCCCACAAGCAAGUGCAGAUUAGUCACACUAGCCAAACAACCAUCCCUUUGAGAUCAGGUUGAUCUUGACUUAACAUUUGAUUUUUUUGGGGGGGUGCACAGAGUCUUACUAUCCAGCCCAGGAUGGCCUUGAACACAUAAUCCUCUGUGCGUCAGCUGCUACAGUAUUGGGAUUCUAGGCACAGAGCAUCAUCACAUACUGGCAUAGGAGUUGCCUUUUCUAGAUACCUUAAUCUCACACUCUCCUUCCUCAUUUCCCAAGCCUUGGUUUAAAAUCAGAGACUUAUGAGAAGCCAAAGUUUUCAGUAUGAUGCAUGCGCUGUGUUCUAUAAUUUCCCCAUACCUCUACAUGCUUCUGUGAUUCUCAAACAGUUCAUCAACAGUUUUUCUAAAUAUAAAUCUGAAUAAAGAAGCAGGGUAGGAAACAUUAGAUAGAAUUUUUUUUUGUCCAGAAAUCUAGACUAUUCCUUUGACCAAAGCCAGUGAAAGACGACGGCGAUAGAGCCUAGGCUCAGUGAUAUUUUAUGGUGGAGAGUAGAGAAAAAAAAAAAGAUACAGGGGAUUAACAUGUAAUAUAGAGAAACUGCCGGGGGAAGUGUGGUUACAGGAGACAGGGUACUAUGCACACCCAGUUUGUCUGUCCUCUCUCUCACUCUGCCUGUACGUCUAAUGUGAGGUUUUGACAUCAUCUGCCACACAAUGUGUAUUUGUGUGGAUGGCGUCCUUGGCCCGUACAGCUGAGCACGCUACUCAUGGCUAGUUAAUUGGUGGUAGAGAAGAAAUGUUCGGACCUGCCUGUUUGAAAUUUCCCAACUGCUCCUCACCCAGCUGGUCUACCUGAAAGUGGGUUUAGGAGCCAAGAUCUGGUGCGAGAAGGUCACAGUGGUUAUGACAACUUGCCAGUGAAAUGCUCUGAGUCUAUGCCUCUGGAAACAAAAUCCCCUCUGUUAUUCCCCCACCUCCAUCCUUGCUGGUGUAACUGUGGACUGUUAAAAAAAAGCAAAACAAACAGACAAAAACAGCCAACCAACCCCCUGCCUCAGAGUCUGUUUUUUGUUUUGUUUUAUUUCUCUCUGGUCUGUAUUCUUCCUUAGGAAAACAAAAAUCAAAAGCAUGUUUUUCUCUACUUUAAACCAAAAUUAUUUGAACAACAUUUAUCAAAGGUAGUAGAGGAAUCAACAUCCUCAUGGGUGUGUAGCAGAGUGUGAGACAUGUCAGGUUUGGGUCCCUAAAUCAGGCCAACUGGAUCAGAAACUGUGUGGUGGGAGUCAGAGGUCUACGUGUAAAUAAAUUCUGCUGGGUUUCAUGAAC